ensembl:lncRNA
CCGGUGUUUAUAAUUUUUUUCUUAAUACUUUGGACAGACAAGAUAUUACAGAGAACCUGCAACUACUAUAUAUUUGUAUGUUCAGAAAAGCUAGCUUUUUUCCGAGCUCGGUGUCUACAAAAGCUAGCUUCUUUGCGAGCUAGGUGUCUAAAAAAGCUAGCUUUUUUGCGAGCUUGUUGUCUAAAAAAGCCUGAUAAACCUGAUGUGGAGCAUCAACCACUUGAUGAGCAGCAAGAUCAACAAAAGAAUUCAAACUGCAGGGGAGCAUUAUGUGGUGUUUUCUGGAGUCGCAUUAUCAAGGCACUUUGUAUUGGUGUGCUGUGGGCUAUUUCUGUGCUCAUCGAUGGAGACUGGUAUGUUUGCUGUCAGAAUGAUCAUUCUGAAAAGCAAUCACAGUUAGCCUGCAAAGAUAAAACCAACAUGACACCUGAAGAAAAUGUGGACAUCAAUACCCUGAAAAACAAAUCAAGAGAGGAACGCGGAGAGGAAGGGCAGCACGCACAGGGUGUGCAGAAACACUACAGCGGGGAGCACGAACACGGACG